UAAAUGGACAGUCUUCCAAUUAUUAAAUUAAAGAUUCUUAGCUUUAGCAGAUGUUCUAUCUGUUUCUUAUCACAGGCCAUGCUGAAGAUAAGUUUGCUAGUUCCUUAUUGCAUUGUUUGAAUAUUUGCUCAGGUCUGUUUGUAGUUAAAGAUAUUCAACUCCUUGGUUUUACCUGUUCAAGGAUGCUGAUCAAAGUUUGCAAGCAAGAGUCAUCGGUGAAUAUCCAUAUGACCUGCGAGUCAGUUUGGUACAUGAAGUGGUUGAGGAGCUUGAAUGGGUCCACUAGACUAUGAUGAACACCAAAUAAUCUUAACCACGAAAACUGUUCAUUUUCAGUGUGAGAGUAGUUCAUGCAUUUCUUUAGCUCGUACCAAAAGCAUUGCAUGAAAGGCCACGCACGGAAAACUUGAGACUAUGGUUGCUUAAUGUUAAUUAUUGUUUGGUAUGACUAUAGGUGUAGGUGUUGGAAUUUGGGAAACCCAAUAUCUAAGAGUUAAGUCCAUGCAAUUCCUUAAUUCUUACUAAAGGCAUUGCAUGAAAUAAAAUUAGGGACUUUGGCUUGGUGGUCAGGCCACUAGAUUAGGACAUUUAAGUCUUUAAGGCUAAACAUUGGCGUCCCUUUAGAUGUGGUUGGGGAAAAGAAUUUUGAAGCAUGGUCUUCAGGCUUGGCUUUUGGUUCACACCUCAAGAUGUGAGGCCUGCAUGAGACGUAUAUCAUGUUCAAAAUAUUCAUACUUAAGAUUUAUUUACUAUUCAGAAAAUACUCAUUCUAUGGGCUAAUUAAAAAAUAUAUAAAUAAAUAGAAGUUUCACUGAAUAUUGAUUUAAUGGUAUCAUUUUUGGCAUUUGUUUCCUUCUGAAAAUUUCGCGAGAAAAAUUUGGUUACUCUGCAUACUGGAGUGUGUAUGUUAUUGUCAAACUACACCUAGUGGUGCAUUUUAGUUACCUUAUAUGUGUAGGGUAUUCAAUGAUAACUACCUAUUGUUCUUAGGUUAGGCACCAGCCUCACCAUCCUCUGAUCUGAACAUAUUCUCACACUCAUUUACCGAUUAGUAACAGGAAUUUCUAAGUGAAACGAUAAAUUAGAGACAAAGACAAUUCCCAACCUAAAGGAGGCAGAGAUAUUCAAAAUUAUAUCUAAUAGACCUGUUGUCUUUUUGCACAAAAUUUGUUGUGAUCAAUAGACUCGAUUUUAGGGUUUCUAAGGCAAAAUUUAAGAUGUGUAAGUCAUAACUUGUUUGUCAGCUUUUAUUGUUUUAUACUAGGAUUGAACAAAAGCUUCUCCAUUUCAAUCUUUGAAAAAAAAAAAAGCACUAAAUUCUUAAGCCAUCUCUAGUGAGGAAUAAGACCAUUACCUAAGGCUUUGAUACACCGGAGUACAUUAUGCACAAUUAGACUAUACAAUUAGACCUAGAAGGGAGUGAAUAAAUCUUCGAAAUCCUAAUUUCAAUAAUUUUAAUUUAAUUAUACCAAUUGUUGAUUCUAAUUUGUUUAUAGGUUUUUGUCCGUUUAUUGGAUUUGAUUGAUAAUUCAACAUAGAUAAUUAAUAAAAGCAAUAAUAAGGAAAGUUAAACAACCAUACAAGCAACCAAUGAGAAAAAAACGACGGGUUCUAAUCCAAACAGAUCAAAUCCCACUAUAAGGAGAAAGGUAAUACAACUUAGGUCUUAAAUUCUAAACCCCAAAAUCACCUAGUUAGUAGUUAUCAUAGAUUCAAACUUACACCAGAUGUCCUCCUUGGAUUCUGUUUCUGUUGAUUUCAGAAUUCGAUUCUCUUGCGAUCUAGUUUGUUGUCGUGAUUGAUCUCCUCAUUAGCCAUCCAAACAAGAAGUUUUGUUUGAUGAACAAAUAUUGAGAUUUUUCGCUUGUUAUUCUUCAAGAACGUGUCUUCUUCAGUUCUUUGGAAUAACAAAAGAUCACUCAUACAACUAAAUGAUUUAAGAUGUUUGUAAGAAAGAAAGAGAAAAAAAAAAGAAAAAGAAAAAGAAAAAAGAUUCAGAUGUUCCUUGCAUAUCACCAGACAAAAAGUGUAGGACGAUUUUACGCUGCUAUAUAUAAUUGCUUAUAGACAUGCCAAGUUCUUAUGUGCUAAAAUCAAUGGUUUAUAUUGGAAAACCCCUUUAUCAACUGAUAUUUUGUAUUGUUGAGUUGAAUUGGGCCUUCUUCUCUUCAUUUUCUUUUAUUCAUUGAGUGCAAGUAACGGCAAAGGUCCUCGGUGCAUGUGCCUUACACAUGCAGGAGCACACCACACAGACACAGCCAUACAGCAUGGCUUAAUUGUGGAUCGUAUACAAUCAUCAAGUUAUGCUUUAGUUAAGGUUGCAAAAGCUCUUUCGUAGUUAUAUCACCAAAUGUGCGUAGCUUUCAAUUUGUGCACUCUUUGUACAUUGAGCUGUUCUCUUUGUUUUAUUGAGGAAGACUUGCAAUGGCUUCUUCCCUAGGACUAUUUACAAAAAAAUAUUUUGCCUUGGUGAAUACCCACAAGUUUUUGCUACUUUGCGGUGAGUUACAUACAACUUGUGCUCAAAACUUGCUAAUAUCUUCAUUCAAACAGACUUUUAUUCAUUGAGCAGUUUUUAGUGAUGGGUUAUUACAUUAAGAUUAAUUUCUUUUAUAAUUGGUAGUAGGAAUUUUGUGGGAAAAUUUCCGGCCAUGCCUCUGUUUGACUGUUUGUCUGUGGAAGAUGAGCCAUAUUUGGCGCCACAUUUUUGUUUUUGUUUCUGGUAGAGGUACUUGCACAAAGUUGAUACUCAGCUCUUGGUCGGUGCAUGAAUGGGUGGGGAGUAUGACAUGGUAUGUAUCUCUAGAUAUUUGUUGGGGAUGCGUCUAUCUGUCAGAUUUAGAUAAUUCUGGUUUGCAAUAUAAUUGUGCCAGACUUUUGUUAUGUGAGAUUUAGAUAAUUCUGGUUUACAUGUAUAACCUCAGUUGAUACGCAUAUCAGGGUCCAUAUAAUAUAGUGUUUGGUUCCAGUUGCUUUAGUGUACUUGUUUCUCUAGCUAAGUUUAGGUGGUUUUGCGACAAGCUAGGUUUGUUUAAAUAUGUUAGCUAAAUGAUGUUAAGACAUUUCUCAAAUUCUUAUUUCUAAUUAUCUUUUAGGAGCUGUAUCUUCUUCAAAAAAGUUCUUGUUGGAAUGACUAAAUUAAGAAAGAAUUGUAUUCUUUGUCGAGUAAGAAAUUUGGGUUAGGAUUCUCACAAGAGAAGUGAGCUUGCAAGGAUAUCUGUUUGAAAUCUAUGCAAAUUUGAAUGCAUUCGAGAGAAGAAGAGCUCGUGAGGAAUUUGUUAUUUUCAGCUCAUAGGGCUUGUAUGGAUGUUUUUGAGAGAUGAAAGAACAUUUGGAGCAAUGAAACAAAGUGAUAGGUGUUUCAGCAUAUCGGUUGUUAGGAUACACUGUAGGAAGAAUUCAUGCACCAGGUGUAUUUUGUGUUUGCGUAUUCUAUCUUUUGUAAUUCCUCUAUAAACAUAGUGAAUUAUCUUUUGUCAUCCAUGUACGCAUGUUUGCCAAACCAUAUUAAGUGUCUUUGUGUUUGAUUUAAGCCCAUUUAAGAUUGGAUCUCAAUCCUGGCACAGGUUAUAUAAGAGUUUAGAGCAGAACAAAUGAAGCUACUUCUGAAUAGCUGUUAGUUGUUACAGUUUGUGAAUAUGCUACUUCAGGUGAUUCACCCAUCAAGCAGGCCGGAGCAGUGGUUGUGUAAAAUAAUAAUGGUAAAAAUUAGGUUUUUAUGUGUGGUGGUGGUGUUAUUAUAAAGCUAGAGGCAGUGGUAAUGCUUUUUUGUUUAUGCAGUCAGUCUACAUGGUUAAUGUAUGUAUGAAAAUAGCUGCAUAUGGGUAUUGUUGUUGUUGCUGCAUUUGAUGACUAAUGGGUAGUUGAUUUAUUAUCAGGCGUGUUCUUGUAAAGACAAUUCAACUAGUAGGGUUCAGUGCAUCCAAAAUCAGAUACAAAACGUGGGGUUGCCUUAUUUUCAUUAAAUUAGUAUACUUUUUCUUACACUCUGUUUGGGAGAACCGAAUUGUUUGAUCUAAAUUUGCUCCAAAUUUAAAUACAGAGUCCCAAAUUUAGCAUUUGAGCCCAGUUUUCAAAGUGGUACCAACAGAUAACAUGUGGAGUAGUGGUUUAAGUUGACAAUUAAGUAAAAUAAAUCUGAUCAAAUCAUAAAAAAAUUAAGUUUGAAUUCUUUGCGGUAAUGCAAACACAUAUCAAAAAUCCAAAAGAAUUUGGUAAAAUAAAGACUAGUGUAUCAAGUGGACAAUUAACAAGGAUUCGGACCUCCUGAGAUCUCCAAAUAAAAAAAGAAAAAGAUUAUUAUUAUUUUAUUUAUUUUUAAUUUUUGUGUCUCCACAUAAUUCUUACAAUAUUUUAGAAAAAAAAAAAAAAAAAAAAUACUUGUAUCCAACUUAGGUUGGAUGAACUUGAUCCAAUCAAAGUACAUGACCCAAUCAUUCUAUGACAAGUAUCCAAAAGCAUUACUAGAAUUACGCUGGAUAUUACCAAUUAUUCGGGUUUGACCCGUUCAGAACUAAAGCUUUCAGAACUCAAUUUUUUUUUUUUUUUUUUUGGCUUGCUUUAAGAAUUCUCAAGAUCAAGCUCCUUUUGCUCUCUCUCUCUCCAGCAAUGCCCUAUCUUUCUCCUUUUGCCCUCUUUCUCUCAAGACGAUGACGAUGACGAUGCCGAUGCCCUAGUUUUUCUGUUACUGUAUUCGACAUCAGAUCAAAGCCCCUGAUCUCACUCUCAUUUGGUUCAAUUUUUCUAUUCCACAUCAGAUCGAAGCCUCUGGUCUCACUCUCAUUCGGUUCAAUUUCUGUAUUCAACAUAAAAUUGAAGCCCCAGGACAUGUAAAAGAGGUGGCAGAUGACGAUCCACCACAAGUUUAGACGAGAUUGGAGGCCUAUUUUAUUUUGCUAUCUUUUGUAUUUGAGCUCUAAUAUUUUUGUAAAUGUUAUCUUAAUUAUUUUGUGAAACUUUAAUUUAAUUAGUAUAAUGUUUUAAGUUAUGAACUUUUAAAUUUUAGCUAUUUUUUAUGGACUGUAACUUGAUAUAACUAAAGUGUGUUCCUUGUUUGGAUGAGAUGGAGGAACGGGACUUUGUAUAUGUAUGUAAUCAUUUUAGGAAUGUGGUAUAAUAUUUGUAUUGUGCGUUGGGACAUGAUAGAUUAAUUUUAAGGCUAAUUGAGGCCAUUGCAUUUUUAUGUGUUUUAA